GAGCGGUAGCACGGGAGAGCUUGCUCUCUGGGUGACGAGCGGCGGACGGGUGAGUAAUGUCUGGGAAACUGCCUGAUGGAGGGGGAUAACUACUGGAAACGGUAGCUAAUACCGCAUGAUGUCGCAAGACCAAAGUGGGGGACCUUCGGGCCUCACGCCAUCGGAUGUGCCCAGAUGGGAUUAGCUAGUAGGUGGGGUAAUGGCUCACCUAGGCGACGAUCCCUAGCUGGUCUGAGAGGAUGACCAGCCACACUGGAACUGAGACACGGUCCAGACUCCUACGGGAGGCAGCAGUGGGGAAUAUUGCACAAUGGGCGCAAGCCUGAUGCAGCCAUGCCGCGUGUGUGAAGAAGGCCUUAGGGUUGUAAAGCACUUUCAGCGAGGAGGAAGGCGUUGUAGUUAAUAGCUGCAGCGAUUGACGUUACUCGCAGAAGAAGCACCGGCUAACUCCGUG
rnacentral:rRNA from 1 species